UGCAUGGGGUGCAAACGUUGCUCGGAAUUAUUGGGCGUAAAGCGCGCGUAGGCGGUUACUUAAGUCGGAUGUGAAAGCCCUCGGCUUAACUGAGGAAGUGCACCCGAAACUGAGUAGCUGGAGUACGAAAGAGGGUCGCGGAAUUCCCGGUGUAGAGGUGAAAUUCGUAGAUAUCGGGAGGAACACCGGUGGCGAAGGCGGCGACCUGGGUCGAGACUGACGCUGAGGCGCGAAAGCGUGGGGAGCAAACAGG
rnacentral:rRNA from 1 species